rnacentral:rRNA from 1 species
AUUGAACGCUGGCGGCAGGCCUAACACAUGCAAGUCGAACGGUAACAGGAAGACGCUUGCUUCUUUGCUGACGAGUGGCGGACGGGUGAGUAAUGUCUGGGAAACUGCCUGAUGGAGGGGGAUAACUACUGGAAACGGUAGCUAAUACCGCAUAACGUCGCAAGACCAAAGAGGGGGACCUUCGGGCCUCUUGCCAUCGGAUGUGCCCAGAUGGGAUUAGCUAGUAGGUGGGGUAACGGCUCACCUAGGCGACGAUCCCUAGCUGGUCUGAGAGGAUGACCAGCCACACUGGAACCGAGACACGGUCCAGACUCCUACGGGAGGCAGCAGUGGGGAAUAUUGCACAAUGGGCGCAAGCCUGAUGCAGCCAUGCCGCGUGUAUGAAGAAGGCCUUCGGGUUGUAAAGUACUUUCAGCGGGGAGGAAGGGAGUAAAGUUAAUACCUUUGCUCAUUGACGUUACCCGCAGAAGAAGCACCGGCUAACUCCGUG